CUUCGGCCCGAGUUGUAAUUUGUAGAGGAUGUUUAUGGUGCGGUACCUUCCGAGUUCCCUGGAACGGGACGCCACAGAGGGUGAGAGCCCCGUCUGGUUGGAUACCAAACCUGUGUUAAACUCCUUCAACGAGUCGAGUAGUUUGGGAAUGCUGCUCUAAAUGGGAGGUAAAUCUCUUCUAAAGCUAAAUACCGGCCAGAGACCGAUAGCGCACAAGUAGAGUGAUCGAAAGAUGAAAAGCACCUUGAAAAGGGGGUUAAACAGUACGUGAAAUUGUUGAAAGGGAAGCGUUUAUGACCAGACUUGUGCCGUGUGGCUCAUCCGAGGUUCUCCCCGGUGCACUCCACACGGUUCAGGCCAACAUCGGUUUUCGCUGGGGGAUAAGAACAGUAGGAACGUAGCUCCUCUCGGGGAGUGUUAUAGCCUAUUGUACGAUACCCUGGCGGGGACCGAGGACCGCGCUUCGGCUAGGAUGUUGGCGUAAUGGUCAUUAGCGACCCGUCUUGAAACACGGACCAAGGAGUCGUCCAUUAGAGCGAGCGUUUGGGUGUAAAACCCGCACGCGUAAUGAAAGUGAAACUAGGUGAGAGCUUCGGCGCAUCAUCGACCGAUCCUGAAGUUUACGGAUGGAUUUGAGUAAGAGUUUUAACGGACGGACCCGAAAGACAGUGAACUAUGCUUGAAUAGGGUGAAGCCAGAGGAAACUCUGGUGGAGGCUCGCAGCGGUUCUGACGUGCAAAUCGAUCGUCAAAUUUGAGCAUGGGGGCGAAAGACUAAUCGAACUGUCUAGUAGC
rnacentral:rRNA from 1 species